AAUCCCAUUUUCUCUCCAAAGCUCCAGAAACAUGACAAAGAGGGAGUGGACUCCCCAGCCUCCUGGAGAUCAGAGGAGGAAAUGGCGGCAGAAGCUGCAGCUCUGAGGAUCUACUUUCAAUGACAGGUAAAGACUGUGCACUUUGUCAUCACCAAAACCCUCCACUGGCCCUCAGGAAAGGGUCUCCGGCUGGGAAUGGGGACAAAGAUAAGCAGCUUAACCAAUAUCUUCAGCUGGUGGCUGCAAAAGUCACAACAGCUGAAGUGGAGAAAACUAUGCUCUUUAAGGAAUUUAUUUCCAGCUCCCUUCCCCUCCAGACCUGCUCUCCCUGUCUCUCCUCCAGGGCUGUUGCCCUCCAUUCCAACAGCCACACAGCAGAUGGUGGGUAAAGCAAAGCUGGUUGUUUGAAACGUCCAAACCCUCUAAAGGUGUGACAGUGCCCUCUGGCUCCAGAUUCUUUGUCCCUCAGCCUCCUGCCAUUUCAGCCUGACCCAGGUAGACUCCUUUCUCUGUUGCUGCUAUUUGAUAAAUUACUGGUUAUGUUUCUCUUUUUCUUUAGGUGCUAGGAAGCUCAGGCUACAGGGGAAAAUUAGGACUUGUUAAGAUUUUUCAUUAAUGAUGUUUAACUGUUGCUAGAAUAAGAUUGUGGUAGAAAGCUACAAUCUCCUUUUUUAGAAUUCGUGCUUAGACUAAAAUUGUUUACAAUGGAUAUUAUACAUUGAUCUUCUGACAUUUGUUCGUAAGUAGGAUUGCCAUGCAAUACUGGGAGCAGACUGGAAAAUUAUUGUUUAUCUGAAAUUCAAAUGUAAACUGGCUGUCCUGCAUUUCAUUUUAUUUUGGUACUGGAUUGAACUCAGGGUUGCUUUACCACUGAGCAACAUACCUACCCCUUUUAUUUUGAGAUUAAGUGGCCUAGGCUGGCCUCUAGUGAUUCUCCUGCCUCAGCUUCUUGAGUUGCUGGUAUUGCAGGUAUGCACCACCACAACUGGUUGUCGUACACUUUAAUGGACCUCAGAGAAACAUCCUUUAAAUAAUUCUUUUUCCUUUUAGAAUUAGAUACUUCUUCCUUUAGCCUGUUUAUAAGUUGCUGGAGCAGAUACUAAUUUAAAACAAAAUUAAUGAGCAAAUACUGGUAGCAAUUGAAUUGUAUAAAGUUUUGCCAACCACUUAGUAGUCAUGAUUUUGGUUGGAAAACAAUACAUUGCACCUUACCCAGGGUUUUGCUUUCCCUAGUUUUAGUUACCCUCCCUCAACUGCAGUGCAAAAAUAUUAGAUGGAAAAUUGCAGAAAUAAGCCAUUCAUAAAUUGUACAUUGCAUGCCCUCCUGCUUCAUCUCCCCCAAGAUGACAAACAUUUCUAACUUAUCCACACAGUAUACACUACCCUCAUGUUAGUCACAUUAGAGUUGUCAGAUAAAGAGUCACUUAAAAAUAAACAUUGGGAAGUUUAAUAAUGGCUCCAUAGUAUAAGAGUAGCAAUGCUGGAAAUUUGGUUAUGCUAGAGGAAUGCUGCAGAGUGCUUCCUUUAAGUAGCAUCACAAGUCUAGUACAAUAAGGUAUUUUGAGAGAGUUAAUAUCCACCUAACUUUUUUAAAAAAUUUUUAGUUGUAGGCAGCACAAUACCUUUAUUUUUACGUGGAGCUGAGGAUCUAACCCAGUGCCUCACACGAGCUAGGCAAGUGUCCUACCACUGAGCCACAACCCCAACCCUCACAUAACUUUUAAUAUAGUGUAUUUUUAUAAUUGUUUUAUUCAUUUUUGUUAAUGCCUUAAUGUAUCUGAUUUAUACAUUAAACUAUCCUAGGUACAUAUACAGAGGAAAAACUUAGUAUAUAUGGAGUUUGAUACUAUCUCAGGCUUUAGACAUCCACUUGGGGGCAGAUACUGUAAAAUAACCCCUGCAGGUAAGAGGGAACCUCUGUUUUCACUUCAAAAUGGAAGUUUUAUUAGAUAAUUUAAAAUCUAUGUGCAUUUCUUGUCCUUUCUCUCCCCAAUCCCCUUCUCAAAGUACUUUAAUUACUUAGAGACCCCAGAGUUCCUCCCCUCCCAGUACUGUGCAAUUGUGGUGAAGGCUCAGGCGCUUGCAUCUAGAAAGCUCAUUUCAUUCUCCCUGUCAUCUGUGUGUCAGCUCUGCACUUAGUUGCCUGAAGGCACAGAGCAUGGUGUAGCAAAAGCUGUCUUUCAUAUAUUAUUUUUAACCUUUUCCACUGUUCAUCUUCUUUCUUAAAAAAAAAAAAAGGAGCGAUAAAAUGAACUUUGUCUAUGGGCAUGACUACAAACCUCUUUCUAUUCUCCUCUCAGAAUGCCUCCUUUGAAAGAGAACAUGUCAUUUUGGAGUGCCCUGUUCAAAUGGGGGUCACAAAUGUUCAGGCUUGACUUUCUAGGCUGAAAUUGUUUUCUGAGUUACCUAUAUAAUGGGUAUUUUCAGGCAGAGCCAAGAAAGCUCUAGGUUUUUCCUGGGGCUUGCUGAACCCUAAGGGCCUAUAUUUGAAUGCAUUUUCUAGAUGUUUUAAGAAGAUUUAAACUUACAACCUGAUUUUGCUUCUGUCUCGCCUUGAGGCCUGACAUCUCCUAUCUUCCAGGUAAAUCCAUUUGUUUUAUGAGUCUUGCCAGAAACACAUUCACCCUAAGAAAUAUCCUACAAGCUACUGUCAAGCCUGCCUGUGUGUUUUUAAAGUAACAGAUAUUUGUAUCUCUCUUUAAGGGUGUUCUUUAUAGACCAAACUAAUGACCUCCUGAGCUGUGGGAAUUUAGUUAGCACCUUAGAGACCAGGGACUUACACUUAGGGUCCUUCAAUUUUGCCAAGAACAUCACCUUUACCUGCAAUACAAUGGGACUGAAUAUACUUCCCUCUAGAGACAAAGGGGGACAGAAACUUGGUCCUUGGGUUAUUCCUCAUCUUCUUUCACACCCACCUAACUUCCCUUUUCAAAAUGCUUCUACACACUGAAUUUUUAUACAAUGUUAAAUGGUUCAUGGAAUACUGAAAUUUUUUUUACUAAAUAGAGCAAUAAUUUUUUUUAAAAAUCCAUUAUUUAUCUGAAAUUCAGAUCAACUUGGCCUCUCCCAGCUAUCCUGAUCGUACCCUCAGGAGCAAGUCAGUCUUAGGCAGAGCAAGUUCAAAGACUUGGCACUUGCUCUGCAAGACCAGAUGAUUCUCCACACAUAGGAGCUGACAAGAUGGGGCACAGCCCAGAGUGGAUGACUAAAGCCAAUUCUUACUGACAGAUUCUAUGAUAAUCCUGCGUUGCUAGUGAAGAGAGAACCAAGGCUCUGUGAUGUUAAGUGUUAUUCUAAGGUACAUGGUGGGCCCAGGCUGUCUGACCCAAAGGCCAUUUUUUAAUCUUUGUACUGCUUAAAGAGCUCCCUCUUCCAGCCAGUCCCUUCUCCCUUUCCUAGGACCCCUCAAACAUUUUUUAGGCUGAUCUCUCUGGCUUCCCUGUAAGGUCGCCUCUGUGACCCCUGCCUCCCUUCACGCUAUAUCCAGGUACCAGGAAUCAAAAUGGCCCCAGAUUCCCCCAACAUUGACUUUAUUGAUUCCAACCAGGCUGCCCUCCUCCCUCCGAUCUCUACCAUCUGAACUCAUGGUCAAGAAAUGCAACCUUGGGCAGGUUCAGGGGUUCCCAAAUUGCAUGCAUUUUGUCAUAGAAGAUCACCAAGGGCAUCAUUUACUUGAUUCACUUUCUAAGUUUGGGUACAUUAGUCUUAAACUGUGUAUCUUAGACUUGAUGAAAAAAAGAACUACUUGUAAGUAGAAGUUAAGCAUGAAAAUAUAGUAAUAAUAAAAAUAAAACUGUGCCGGUAAAAUUCCAGCUUGCUGGUAGUCAUCAGGACUGAAGUUAUUUUCUCUUUGUUAGAAAGUGAGGUGGGCCACUCUCAGAGAGGCAUUUAAUUUCAGCACGAACCUGAGACUCUCCACUUGACCUAUUCAGAAGGAUAAAAAGAGAAUGACCUAUACAGAGAUCAGUGUAGGUCACCUAAAAUUAAACAGGCAUAUGAUUCCCAUCUUUGGAGAAACAGUAACGGAGGCUAGAAGUGAAACCCGGAGCGAGAGAACUCUAGACUAUUCCAACCACUGAGCCAGUCCUUCCUUCAACUAGACAUGCUGAGAAUACAGGGUGCAUGGGGGAAACCAAAGAGUCAACCUCCCUAGGGAUACUGGGUCACCAUUUUGUCACCAGGCAUGAAGUGUACACCACAGCUCACUGCCUCCCCCAACCCUGGGGGCACACUCAGUCUCCAGGCUGAGCAUCUUCUAGGGUUUGCUUUUAACACUUGGCUUGCCCAGAGUCUACCUUACAAACCACAGGACUGCAGAGAAGAAUCCCUACACCCAAAAAAGAACUGCAAGAGGCAAAGAGUCACUGUCUGCUUGCUUUGGGUUAUACCUAGCAACGCUCAUAAGUAAAAACCCCUGUUCUGGAUCUAUUUUUUUUUUUUUGGUGGGGGGAGGGUGGUUGUACUGGGGAUUGAACUCAGGGGCACUCAACCAUUGAGCCACAUCCCCAGCACUAGUUUGGAUUUUAUUUAGAGACAGGGUCUCACCGAGUUGCUCAGUGCCUCUCUGUGGCUGGCUUUGAACUCGCAAUCCUCCUGCCUCAGCCUUCCCAGCCGCGCGCCAUCACGCCUAGCUCUGCAUCUUCUUUAUGUAUGAACCCAGACUAAUCCUCAGGAUGACUUGAGUGCCAUUAGGACCAUAAAGAGAAACAUCCCAGAACUAUAAGCUCUCUCCUCAGCCUCUUGAAGCUAUCACGGCAUGCCCAUCAGUUAGGGGAAUUCGCUCUGUCUUCCCAUAUAACCUGGCCGGAGGUCUUGGUGUCUUAGCCACCUUCUAUUAUCCCUGGGCUAGCACAAAAUGACUUUGAAUCAGUUUCUGAUUCAGCAGUAGUGAAAAACGGACAUGGCCUUUGCUGUGCCCAGAGAGGGCCACUGGUUGCUGAAUGAAGCUGCAUCUGCCUCCUCCCUGCCCACCUGACAGAUCCCUGAUGAGAUUGCCAAGCAUGUGCUUCCAGGAACCAGCAUCUACUCUCCGCCUAGGUGAAUUAAUGCAUUGGCUCCCCACACUGGGCUGACUUCCGGGAGAGGGGUUUUGCGAUGGCUCUUUCUAAAUCACAUUAGAUGACACUGGAUCUCCAUUUCUUACCUAACCUUGUCUCCUUUCUGGAGGACGGUAACUCUUUAUGCAGGCAUGUCACACUCCGAUGGUCUGCCUUUGACACACUAGCGGUAGGUUUCCUGCUUAGUUUUAAAGCAGCGGUGUGUGUACCUGUGGGGAAAGUCCUCUUCUUGUUCCAAAUGGAAUUGAGAGGGAUAUGUCAUCAAAUAUGCAAGCAUCACCCAACUCUGAUGGGAAAUCAGAGCAGGACAGGUUUCUACACCCUGUUGUGUCAGCAGAGUUCAUUUGUAAUUCAUCAAACUCUCCUCUGUAUGUGUGGUUAUUUUACAGAUAAUUGGUUGCCUCUCAUUUGCUCGUAACAGAGCAGAGCAAUUUCAAAGCAACUGAGUCAGCCCAAAACAACGUUAUUAGUCCUUAUAGAUGUACUGUCAAGGAAAGUUUGGACACUGGCUUUUUUUUUUUUUUUUAAACCACCAUAAUUUUAGCCACUGGUAAUCGUGGACAGUCAAGAUGGAUGAGAAAGGAUAGGUUGCAGACAGCUUUGGUCUGUAAAUUGUACCUCUGAAAUCCACCUAUCAGCUUGAGAAAUAAUCUAACCUUGCGCUGAUAAGAAAGACCCAGGGAGCCCUGUGGCCCCUGUUUCUAUUGGAUUGUGCUGUUAGGAAUACAUUUCGAGAACUUGUUCUCAAUAGCAAGGAAUUAAAGAUUCUGUUACUUGACUGACAGAAGUAUAAACCAGGUCCCUAUGGCUUAAGUAGAGAAUGAGGAAACUUUAGAAAGUAUCAAUUCUAGUGUCCCACAAAAUGAUUUAUUUUAUAACUCCAGCUAUACUGUAAAAACCAACUUCCCUUUAUAUCUACUCUAUGAGCGAAUCUAUCUCAAAGUUCAAAAUGAGAAUUUAGUUUAGUUGGAUCAUUUUUAAAAUGUUUGGCUAAGAUUCAUUUUUCUCUAACAUGGACCUAAUAGUUUAGGCAAAAGAUCUCCAUAGGCCCUUGAUAGCUAGAGAAUCCAAAGAACUCUUCUACUGGUCCUAGAAAUGAUUGGUGUCUCCAAGUUAAUUUUAACCCUUAUGAAUCUUAGAAUGACACAGUCCAUCCAUUCACAGAGUUCUUUUCAGAAAAAUGUAACCCUCAUAGCCAAAAAUAACUUGAAUUUGGGAAUUAUUAGUUGGAUCUUGCAAAAAGCCUAUUAUUAUCAUCCUUAUCUCACAUUCCUCUAGAUCCUUCUAUGACAAAAACCUUCUACACUAAAAUUUUUCAUUCUCAAGAUCUUUUUUUUUCUUUCUCAGUUUUCUCCACUCUUUUCUAUACAGUCUUCUCCUUCCAGUGAACUGAUUUGUCUUCAUCUCUGACACAAAGGAAAGUGGGAAGAAGGGCUCUUCUAGAGACCACGGGAGGUUACUAUGAAGAAAAGACUAUGAAAAUUCACACAAAUACUCUUUGACCCCAUCGCUUAACAAUAGCUAAUGUAUAAACAUCAGCACCUCACUUGAUUCUAUGUCUAGGAUGUCCCUCAGCCAUCUCUUACAUAGGAAGUGCUCCAUUAUUUUGACAUGCUGGGGUGUCAUUCAAGUGCUCAUGCAGGCAACCUGGAGUAUUAGUGCAGGAUGGUUUUAAUACUUCACCAAUGAUUCUCAAAGAGUUUAGUAUGCUCUCCUACUUCUAAUUCAUGAGUGACAGGCAACUGAGACUGUAUCUUAUUUAUUAAAAUAUAGUCUGAAAAAAAUGAGGAAAAGACAGGGAAAGGCUAAGAAAAGAACAUCUUGAGAAUUAAACUGACACCAACUGUUCCAGGAGGGUAAUUAGUAAAAUUAGACCCCAGUUCAGGUCCACAUUAGUGUCCUCUCCUUCUUCCAGAAAAACCUCUUUUCUAUGCUCCUUCAGAGCAUGCUGUCUAAAGAGAAUAAGAGCCACAUAAAGACUAGGGAAGAGUGCUGUAGAUGCCAACCUAGAAAUAAAUCUGCACUUCCUUAUGCCCAAACUCCUUCAAGGGAUGAAUACCUACUACCUCUUCUUUCCUUCCCCAAGCCCCAUUGUACUGACCUGGCCAUUUUGGCUCAGUAUUACUACCAUCCUGCACCUCUAACACAGGCCUGGACUUACUUCUAUUCUAGAACCAAGAGGAAAGCUUCUAGUGGUAGGAACAGCCUCCUCUGGGGCAAGGCUUGUCUUGUGCUUUACACAGAGCUUUCUAGAAUGUGCUUAGAAGAGAAGAGACAGAUAAAAUGAACAUUAGAGUUUUGUAAAGAUCAUGAGAAAAGUAUGACAGGCCAAAAAUUUCACUCAAACCUCCUCCUGUGUUCAACUAGAAAAACUUUACAUAAUAAUAAUAAUCUUAAAAAAGAUUAGAAGUAACAAGAUAGCAAAAACGUACAGUGGCACACUCCUGUAAUCCCAGAGGCUUGGGAGGCUGAGGCAGGAGGAUCAGGAUUUCAAAGCCAGCCUCAGCAAAAGCAAGGCACUAAGCAACUCAGUGAGACCCUGUCUCUAAAUAAAGUACAAAAUAGGGAUGUGGCUCAGUGGGCAAGUGCUCCUGAGUUCAAUCUCUGGUACCAAAAACAAAAAACUAUAGGACCAAGACACAGGGAAGUUCAGUUCAGAUUAGAGAGGUGAGCCCAACAUUUGGGGCCACUUUUCCACUGAGGGCAUCUGUCAGUCUUAGAGAAGCAGAGAGAUUUGGCCAAAAAUAGGGUACUUGUGAAACCUCUACACCUGGGUGAGAGUUCAAAAUCUAGGAGAGUUACACCCUUGAAAUGAGAGUGAGCCAGAUCCCUUAACAUAUAAAAGCAGUCCUUUGUUGUUGGACAUUUUUAUUAUUUUCACUUAUUAUGAUAAUAAAUAAUGCUAUAAUAAACAUAUUGGAACAAAAAUAAAAAAGAGUGAGCCAGAUGUAAGCCAGCCCCCACACCAACUGCUGCCCAACUUCAUAUUGUGUAGAGAGAAUAAAAAAAAUACUUAGUCCUGGAAAUUGAAUUAAGGUAAUCCCUAAUUGCUAGUCCAUUAGACUCCCGGCAGAAGAAAAAUUCUCUAUGGAAGAAAAUAAUACCAACUCAAGAUCUUAAAUUAUUUCUGCAAUUUGUUUCCAAGCAGAAUGCCCAGUAUGUGUGUGUGCUAAUGUCUAGGCACAUACACACACACACAAGGGACCAAGUUUUGAUGUCCUGAAUGCUGUGUCCCACCCCCAGAAUUCAUAGGUCGAAGCCCCAACCCCCAUGUGAUGGUGUUAGGAGGCAGGGCCUCUGGGAUGUGAGUAGGUUAAGACCACAUCAAAAGCAUGGCACCUCCAUGAUGGAGUCACUGCCCUUAUGAGAAGAGACAUCAGAUUUCCCUGUGUGCUCAAAGAAGGGUCAUGUGAUGGCACAGCAAUAUUGGCAGCCACCUACAAGCCCAAAGAAGAAGUCUCAAAAUGAAUCAGUGUUACUGUGGCUUGAUAUUGGACUUCCCAGCCCCCAGAACAAUGAGAAAUAAAUUUCAGUUGUUUACAAAUAUGAUGUGAUUUACAGGGUUUUAUCUAGAAAUGGGCAUUAGAUGUUAAAAUAACUAUAUUUAAAUUUGUUUAUAGAUAAAAGACACAAGAAUUCAGCAGAAAUCUUUAAUCUAUUUUUUAUAAGGCACAAAUCAUAAGAAAAAGAACCAAACAGAAAUCUGAGAACUAAAAAUACAUCAACUCUUGCCAGGUACAGUGGCAUAUGCCUAUAAUCCCAGUGGCUGGGGAAGCUAAGGCAGAAGGAUCUCAAGUUUAAAGCCAGGCUCAGCAACUUAGCGAGACCCUGUCACUAAAUAAAUAAAAUAUAAAAAAGGGUGGGGGAUGUGGCUCAGUGUUAAGUGCCCCUGGGUUCAAUCCCCAGUCCCCAAAAAAUAAAAUUAAAUAAAAAAUACAUUCACCCAAUGAAUGAAUUUAGCAGCACAGUUUUCAUAACCAAAAAGGUCAACCCAAAGAUGAACAUGAACAAACCAUGAAAAGAGAGAAAUAACAGUUUCAGUAGAAGUUAUAAAGAAAUAACACCUGAGACUAUUUUCAAAACUGGCCAAAUCUGCUACUCCAGAAAUUCAAGAGCACACCAAGACCAGAACAGGGUAGUGGAGAUCCUCACUCACUCAUAUCUGAUAAAACUGGAGCACCUUAAAGGCAAAGAGAUAAAUAUUUGAUUUUAGAGAGUGUGUGGGGGCACUAAAUUUCAAUAGAAAAAUAAACUUAAAGUAACAACAAAAACAGUGAUAAUCAGAAGACCACAGACUGAUGUCUCUGAAGAAUCAAAAGAAAAUAACUACCAACCUAGAUACUCCUAAGCAGCUAACAGAUUUUUCAUGAAUGCCAUACUUUGGGUAUGAAAUGUCCUCUAAAAGCAGAAUUGUAAUGCAAAAAUAAAUAAAUAAAUGAUUUUUUAAAAAGCCCAUGCUUUAAGGGCUUAGUCCCCACUUUGGCACAACUGGAAUGGGGGUCCUAGUUUUAGAUCACUGAGUGUGUGACCCUGCAGGGGACUGGGGGACCCUGGUCUCUUCCUCUUCCUCUUUCAUUUCCCUGACAUAAGGAAAGUGGCCUUGGUUCCCUCAAAGACUCUGUACUGCACCCCCACAGGCCCCAAAGCACCUGGGCCAAUUUAUCUUGGACUGUAACUGUGAGCCAAAAUAAAAGUUCAUGAUCUCAGGUAUUUGUUAUAGCAUUGGAAAGCUAACAAUGCAAGUACUUCAGAAACAUUUUUCUGACAAAGCUGGGAGAAUUUGUUUCCAACCAAUUCAUAUAAGGGGAAUUCUCAAGAAAAAAAAUCAAAUAGGAAUUAGAAACUAUUUUGAAACCUAAUAAAGAAAACUAAAACUUGUGGAUAAAGAUGUGUUUUGAGGAUAAUUAAUUUUUUAAAAAUUAGAGCUUUAUAGUACUUGGGUUCAUCCCAAUAAACUCACACAGGCAUGGAAAUUGAUUUCAGUUCAUGAUCACCCCUUUUCUGUCCUCCCUCUCCUAUUAACAUGACUUCCUUUCACUCAAUAUUCAAUUGUAUUUGAUUGGUUCUUAAUGUUAUACUAUCCUUCCCUCCCCCUUUCCUUUAUUGUACUCUAGCUUCUGCAUAUAAGAGAAAACAUUCAACCUUUGAGUUUUUAUUUCAUUUAGCAUGGUAUUCUAUAUUUCUAUCAAUUUACCAGCAAAUGCCAAAAUUUUAUUCUUUUUUAAUGGCUGAGUGGAACUCCAUUGUAUAUACAUAUCACAAUUUCUAAACCCACUCAUCUAUUGAUGGGCAUCUGGGCUGAUUCCAUAAUUUUAUAAUUUAGCUAUUAUGGAUUAGCAAUUAACUUUUAAUUAUGACUGAGAUGCAUUUAUUGAAGAAAAUAAUAGCUAAGAGUUAAUCUACUAAACAUCUUUAUAAUAAGAAAAGUUAGAGUGAUCAAAAUUAAAUAGAGAUCUUAAGGACAAAUAAGUAGUAAAAUAGAAACCACAGGUGUAAUUGAAAGGAUUAAUGAAAUAAAAUAUGUCUUCAAAAAGAAAAACCACAGAAAACCAAUGUCAAAAACAAAGAAACAAACUUCUGUACAGAUAUUUCAGUCACUAAAAAUCAGAGCAUAUGAUGAAUAAUUUUAGAGCAAUACAUUUAAAAAUUUGGAUCAAACAGACAAUUUUCUAGAAAAUAGUAAUUUACGUAAACUGACUAAAGUGAAAAAGAAAAUAUGAAUAAUUUGAUAACAAAGAAAUUGAAUUUUCAUUAAAAUCGUUGCAACAAAUAAAUCAUCAGGUCUAGACAGGCUUACUGGUGAAUUCCACCACACAAUGGAGAAAUAAGUAAGAAUUUUACUCAAAUUCCAACGGAAUGGGAAAGCAGAAAGGAAUAAAAGUCUUUCACUGCCCAAUUUGUUUUGUGAGUUACCUCGCAAAUGAACCUAACAAAAUGGCCUAGGCAACUUAGGAAGACCCUGUCUCAAAAAAUAGAAAGGGUUGGGGAUGUAGGUCAGUAGCAUAGCAUUUCUGGAUUCAAUUUCCAGUACCAAAAUAAAGAAACCAACAAUACAGAAAUCUAUAGAAUGACUACAUGUGGAAACAGAGGCCAAAGUCCUAAAACAUUGCUGUUGGACACACACACACACCAUUUAUAAAAAGAAUAAUACAACGAACAAUAUAACUUCUCACUUCAGACUGUCAAAUCAUCUCUUUCCCCAGAUAAGUCAAGGAGAAAAUGAUAGGGUCAUCUCAGUAAUCACAGAUAAAAUUAUUGAUCUCAUUAAACAUCAAACAAUAAAUACAAAAGUUCUCAGGAAAUUAGAAAGGAAUUUAAUACUUGAGGGUGAAAUGUUGAGCACUGUUCAUCUGAGAUUAUAAAUGAGAUCAGAAGAGUCACAGGUAGCACUUCAAUUUCACAACAUUCUCAGGAUCCCAGCCAGUGCAGCCAAUGCAGGAACAAUAAAUAAGAGAUAGAAGGAUUGGAAAGGAAGGAAUAAAACUGUUAUGAUUUGUGGACAAUAUGAUGAUGUAUACAGAAAAUCCAAAAGAAGCUAUGAGAAGCAAUUAGAUUAUUAAUCAGUAAAUGUGUGAAGGUCUCUAAAUAUAAAGUUUCAAUUUCCCUGUAUCAGUCACAACAGCUAGAAGGUGAGAAAUUUUAAAGUCACCAUUUAUAGAAACAUCAGAAAUCAAUGCCUAGGAAUAAUUAAAGAUAUGUAAUCUUCUAGACAGAAACUAUACAGUGUUUUUAAGAGGCACUAAAGAGAAAUUGAAUGACUUGACUUCAUAAAAACUCAGUUUUCCUCAAAUUAACCUAUAAAUUCAGUGUAAUUCAGAUUUAAAUUCCUUCUACAUUUGAUUUUUGUGAAAACUGACAAGUUGAUUCUAAAAUGCUUAUGGAAAUGUAGUCAGAGGUUCUUCAAAGAACAAGAUUAGAAGCAUUGAAGGGCUUCCUCUACUAGGCUACAGAGUAAGAGGUACUGGUCCAGGAUAAGUAGACUAAUGGGAAUAAAAUAAAAUACCCAGGAACAGAUCCAGGCAUAUAUGAAUACUUAAGAUAAAAAUGACAUCAGAGAGCUCUGGGGAAAGAUGAGUCUUUUCAAUAAAUCUUUCUGGGAAACCAGGCAUGAUGAUGCAUGCCCAUAGUCCCAGUGGCUCUGGAGGCUGAGGCAGGAGAAUCGUUAGUUCAAAGCUGGUCUCAGCAUUUCUAUAUGGAAAACUAAUAAAAUGAACUCCUACCUCACAUCAUAUGCACAGAUUGGCUCCAGGUGGAUUAUAAUUCAAAAUGUGAAGUAUUAAACAGUAAAGCUUUGAAGACAGUUUAGCUGAGUAUUUUCAUGAUAUUGCUAUAGGGAAAGACUUUUAAACCAGGACACAAGAAGCACUACUAUGAAAAAAGAUUCAUAGAUUAGAUUGCAUUCAAAAUAAAAACUUCUAUUCACCAAAAAACACCAUGAAGCUGGGUACCAUGGUACCUGCCUAUAAUCCAAGCAAUUUGGGAAGCUGAGGCAGGAGAACUCCAAGUUUGAGGCCAGCAUAGGCAACCUAACAAGACCCUAAACAACUUAGCAAGACCCUGUCUCAAAAUAAAAAAGGAUUGGGGAUCAAUCUCCAGUACCAAAAGAAAUAAACAAACAUAACCAACAAAAAACCCCAAAAACACUGUGAAGAAAGAUAAAAGUGGUUAUAGCACCACAAUUCACAAUAGCUAAGCUAUGGAAACAAACUAGAUGCUCAUCAAUGGGUGAAUGGAUAAAGAAAUUGUGGUAUAUAUAUACACAACAGAAUAUUAUUCAGCCAUAAAGAAUGACUUUAUAACAUUCACUGGUAAACGGAGGGAUCUGGAGACUAGCAUGCUAAGUGAAAUAAGCCAAUCCCCAAAAAACACAAAGGUCAAAUGUUUUCUCCAAUAUGUGGAAGCUAAACCACGGUAAGGGGGGUGGGGGAAAGAAUAGAAGUUCAGUGGAGUAAACAAAGGAGAAUGAAAAGAAAGGAGGUGGGAAAGGAAUAGAAAAUAUAGUGGAAUGAAUCGGACACAAUUUUCCUAUGUACAUAUAUGAAUACACCACAGUGAAUCUCACCAUCUUGUACCUCCACAGACUGGGAUCCUAAUUAGAAUAAGAUAUAGUCCAUUCUUGUAUAAAUAUAUCAAAAUAGAUUCUACUGUCCUAUAUAACUAAAAAGAACCAGUUUAAAAAAAAAAAGAGAGAGAGAGAAAAAACAAGUCCCAAACUAGAGAAACUAUUUGCCACCCUAUAUAACCAUCAAAAGAGCAGUGUCCAGAAGAUAAUUUUAAAACUAUGACAACAACAAUAACAAAAACACUUUAAAAAUCACUAAAGAAAAGCCAACAACCCCACAGAAAAAUACAAAAGAACUUGUUUGGGCACUUCACAAAAAAAUAGGUAUUGAAAUGGCAGAUAAUCUUUAGCCAACCGGGAAAUGUAACUUAAAGCAUGAUGAAAUACCAAAUCCGCCCACCACUAUAGUCAGAGUUUGAAAGAACUGACUGUAUCAAGUGUUUGCAAGAACAUGGAACAACAGAAACACAUAAUAGAAUACAUACUGUGUAAUUGCCCUCACAUAAAGUUCAAAAACAGGCAAAAUUAAAUUAUAGUGCUGAGAAAUAUAUUUAUGUCGAUGGCAAAAUUAUAAGGGAAAGCAAGGAAGCAAAUUGGCAUAAAAGUCCGGCCAAUGGUCACCUUUGGCGGGGAGGCAGGAGCAGGGUUAUGAUUUUGGAGAGGAACUUGCACUGGGGUACAAAAUUGGAAGGGGGCUGACAUUGUUCUGUUCCUGGCCAUGGAAGGUGAUGUGUGUGUUGACGUUAUAUUGAUUCUGCAAACUGUAAAUAUAUCAUCUUCAUUUUUCUGUCUGUUUGUGUGUUAUAUUUUACCAUAAAAAGGACAAAAAAAAAAGAUAAAUGAAAAUUCUUAAAUUAAGGGGAAAAUAACAGGGAAGAAAGGGACUGACUUUAAUGUGUGAUCUAAUUGCUGGCUGGAUAUUCAAUUAUUCCACAAUAGACUUACACACAAAAAGAAUAAUUGCUGCCAGUAAUCUUUAUAGACACACUGCUUACACAUCAGAGUUAAUUCCCCUCCUCCUGGCCAGCCUCCCUGACUCUCAGAGGCCACAUUAGCCGCCAACCAGAUCUUUAUUUCAGUAAGGGAAUAACGGAGACCACUGCAGAGAGGGCAUUUCAUUAUUAACAAUAAUUCUUAAUGAUGCCACUUAAGGAGAGUCUACCACAGGCAACUUAUGCCAGUCACUUUCUAGAUUUCAUAUCAAUUAAACCCCAUAACAUCUCUCUAGUGUCACCUUGUUUUCAGAAGCAGAAACUGAGGUUGAAGGCAGCUAUGUAACUUGCCCAUGGACUCUCAUGUUAUAUGUAGAGAUCAAGGUUCAAGUCUAAGCAGUCUGACUUUGGAGCCCAAUUUACCUUUGCACUAAAACUGACAGAUGUCUGUUUAGAAACAUCCUCCCCUGUGUCAACUCUAGCUAAUGGAAGGCAAGAAUUAGUCAAGGAAGUUCGAUAUUACAGGGUACUGGCGCUUCUGAAACAAACUUCAAAAACAAAGCCAGCAUUUGGUGAUCCCCAUCCUUGGGGUCUUGGUGUUGGUCAUUUGAUCCAGUAUAACCAGGGGAUGUUGUUGACAUUUGAAUUUGGAACUGUCAAAUCAAUCGCAGCCAAAGAUCAUGGUUCUGGGCAUGUGACUCCAGCCUGGCCAAUCAGAGUCCUUCACUACUGCUGGGUAUGUGAACACAGAGGGGUGAUAAGAACUGGAGGUUAGAAAUCAUCCUGCUUAUCACUGGGAGAAGCCAGAAGUAGGGACAUUCAGUAGAGUAAAAGGAGACAAGAGUAGAGAGGGGAAGAGGCAUUGGUCUGAAUUCCAAUGUCCAUCAAUUCUUCACAAUUAAUAGAGUAGUAAGUCACUUUUUAUCCAGAGGUGAAUUUCAUAUGGGGUUCCCUUACUUGUUAGCAAAUGAGCCUUGUCUACAACUGGGGCAUAGAUCGUUGGCCUUCCUAUAGAAGAUUUAAACCUUGAUGUUCUAGAAUUCAACUAACAAUGUUUUGUGAUCUUCUAAUUUGGAGUCAAAUACCAUCUUAGGCAUGGUAGGUAAAGUCACCUGUGCCCUGUAGGAGCUAAUGGUCAGUCUGAAGGAGUGAGUCCAGUGUAAAAGCAAGCAGGUAUGGAACUGAGUCCUGGGCAAGUUGGCAGUGCAAUGUCACCCAUAUCUGUGACCAAAAUGAUUUCGUUCCCUUAUCCUACCAUAAAAUAGUUGACUUUGUGUCAGUCAUGUCUAACCCUUGCCCCGUGCCCCACCCACACACAAUUACAUGCCCUCCAAGAGCCACCUCAUGGUCCAGGAUUAGCCAAUCGAUUUUAAUGGGUAUUUAAGAGAUUUUUCAAAGAGUGCAAGUCAGUACCUAAGAUGAUAGAUCGUGCAAUAAUUAAAGCAUUAAAAGAACCCAAUUGAGGAUUUUCUUCCCGCCAGCAGAUAUCUUUAGGUCAAGAAGGUCCAUAAAAACUGGCAGAUCAUUUUCAUUCCUUUAAGACAGACAAAAAUGACUUUGAAUUUAAUUAGAUGCUCUUACCAAUUUUCCUCUGCUAAAGCUCCACAUCUUGAUCCACUGAGGCCUGCAAAAAUUUAGAACUGCUGGCAUUCUGAGCUGAAAAUUGACGGCCGGGGCCGGGGUAUUACUGUGAAGCAAUGAAAGCCUGUGAUGUUGCUCAAAUCACUUUUUGAUUAGAAAUGAUAAACCAGAGUCACAGUUACAAGAAAGGGGAGCCUUCGAACAGGCAGCAGGCCAGUCUUGGCUCUGUGGAGCUCUGGGUUGCUGGUAGGACUCUUACCCUUCUUAUCCCAUCUCUCUGGUGAUUCCUGAAGAUCCUGGAAUUAUCCGUUUAUAAUAAAAGAGUAUGCCUAACAGUAAAUCAGACUUUAUCUUUGAUAUCCCUAUCAAAGUCUUACUUCCUUACUCUUAAGGAUCCAUUGCCAAUCAAAGCACUUUUUUUUUUUCUUUUAGGAUGGAAAAUUUUUUGUAAGGUUAGCUUUAAUUUAAACUUUUCAAAGAACGCGACUCCGUGGAAAUAAAAAUAGUGCAAAAAUUUAAAAGUGCUUUCAAUUGAAUCUAAGAACUCUCCUCAUUCUAACAAGGCAUAAUACUGCAAUUAAAAAUACCACUUCUAUACAGAGAACAUCAUACAUAAACUGUUGACUGUGACUCUUCAAAUACGUAUCUAUAUCCUCAAAUUCACCCAAGGUCAUACAAGAUGAUGAACGCAGUAAAAGAGAAAAUCUGUAAAGAUUACGAUCCUUUAAAUGGAAAGCCAGGUCUUGUCCCUCCAGUGCACUUUGCAGAGUCCGCUAGGCCCUGAUCCCACUAGGCCCUGAAGGCCACAGUAAGGGAACAAGCUCACCUGCCGCGUCCACUCCCCACACUCUCUGCUCUAACCUCCUGCUUUCUGUGACUGGAUCACAUCAAACAAUGUCCCCAACUCACACUUCUUACAGGACUUCGCGUCCCCUUCUGCCUAGAAUGUUCCCGUCUCCUUUCCUCCAUUCAUGUUUUAACUCAAAUGUCACCUGCUCAGAAAGGCCUUCCCCAAGGGCCCAAUCUAAGGCAGCACCAGGCCGCUGGCCCUACUCCAUCUCCUGGGCGACCUAGAUGGGCUUUAGAGAAUGGGUUGGCUCUCUAGCCUCCUCCAUAUUCUUGGGGGUCUGUUAUGGGACAACAUGACCCUCAGGCCUCAAAAGCGAGUUAUCAACUCUCUCUCGUGACAGUGGUGUUGUCAAUUUUGGUGUCCUUCCUGAGAAAAAUUAGACCCCGAGCAUCUUUGGACGAGAGCAGAGUUCAAAAACCAUAUAAUACAAGUUAGUGUUUUACAAAGGACAAAACUGUCCCACUGUGGUCCAGAGAGGAGACAUAUCUGGCCCAGAUACACAGAGUAAGAGCACAGCUUAUAUCCAGGCAUUUUACGUUUGUGGUCUCUUUCUGAACAUAAAAGAGACAAGGCUGUGGAGAUUCCAGUGAGGAGGCUUCUAGAUGGGAUGAGGUGUCUAGAAGGCUUCUGUCUAUGACCCACUGUGCCCUAUUUGCAUUUCUUUCUAGGCAACAACAUCUCAGGAUAAGCAUGCUGGCGUGAAGUACUCUCUCUGCUGGUAGCCUACAACUGUGUUUUCUUGCCACUUUCCAACCCUUGAGAUUUUGGUCCCAAAUAUAAUUUGAUCAAAAUUCAGGUUGGCCUUUUUGUGAGGAACUGAAGUUGACCAUAACUUAUCUGACCAUCCAUUUCACACUCAAUAUACAACAUUUAAGGUUUCUUCUUUCGAUUUUUUGAUGGAAGGUCAUAUUCCAGGUAAUAGACUUUUAUCCAUGAGCUCAAAGAUAUUUUUGGAUUGCAAUCUGGACUCAUGUAUCAAGCAGAAAGAAUAUAAUGACACCAACAUCAGUAACUUUUAAAUGGUGAAGAAGAAAAAAAAUACAUAUAAUAACUCCAUUAGGCUGUUAAAAAGUGCUGAACCCCAACAAAUUUGCAAUGUAAUGAUCUUUGAGUAUGCGUCUAUAAUCCUUCAGCAAAUACGCCUUCUAUUCAACUACAGAGUUGUACACACUCCAGACACAAGUGCCAUUAAUUAAAUAACACACUCAGCAAACUCUCAGAGCCAUUAAUUAUCAAAGGUGGCCUGCUCCGUGCUCAGCUCUAAAUUCUAUUAUAAGAGAAGAGUGUGGGCUAGAGCUUAGGAAUGUGCUGGAGGAAGGUCACCCUCAAAAGCAUGUCAGAGAAAGCAAAUGACAGAGCGUGCAUGUCUUUUAGCUUUUCCUUUGCCCAUCUGCAGGGUCUGAAGGAAGGAAAAGGGUUUUCUAUUGUAGGGACUGUCUCAAAAUUAGUUUCUCUCAUGAAAGAUGCAGGUAAAUACAAAGUAAUCCUUUUUCAUUUUGACUGUGUUGCAGAUCAGAGUAAUAUCAGCUGAAGAUUUGGAGACAAAUAAAGUGUGCUCUCACCAGUCCCAUGGGAGAGAGUCCUUGCUGGGCCUGGGCACAGAGAGAAAGCGGGAUGUAAAUAGCAAACAGAACAAAGAGCCUUAUUGGCUUAAAGUGGGUCUCAGGAAAAUACCCAAGUAACAGCAUAUGUUUUCGAGCAAUGGGUUUGCCCUGUUCUGCCUCCUCAUUCUAUAAUCAAGUUCAAAGUGUCUGCAGUUUCCUUUGCAGAGGGGCCAAGUCCAGUGGGGCCAGGAAAAAUGACUCAUGGUGUCAAACUUGGAGAAUCGUCUUUUCUUGUGUGCUUGCAAUCCUUAGAAUUCAAUUUGUCUCUUCCAAGAGAAAACUGACAAAGCUAAAUUUGUGGUUACUCUAAAGGCCAAGCUAGGGGUGAGCCCCAAUCUUGUUGGAAAUCAGAUGUCCAUACCCUGAGCCCAGGGGACUGGCCAUGGGAUAUCCAGAGCUACUUUGUGUGCCCCCAAGGAGGCAACACAGUGGAUUGGGGAUGUGGACCCUGUUUAACAGGAAGUUAAUUAACACUUUCUCACUGCAGGAAGUGAGAAAGUAUCAUCAGCAUGUGCGGCUUGCCACAGAGGAAUAGGUUUGAGUUAGAAAAAUGGGUGGGAGUUGCCCUGCUAUCUGGAGUCCCUCUAUGCCCUGCUAGGUUUCUGGCUGCUGUACUUGGGGGUAUCCCCUUCCUCUCUCUAGAUGGAAUAAUUGCAUUGCCUCAGAGAUACAAUCAGAGUGGUUCUCUGAUCCUUGCCAUUUCUCCCUCACCUUCUUCCUUUACCCACUUACUGUAAGACAUUGCCACCUGCGGCUUUUGUGGUCCAAUUUCUGAGACCAGUUUAUUAAGAAAAACCUGAAAAGCAGAGGUCAGGGGUGCUUGCCCUUAGAAAAUUGCUCACCUUGUUUUCCAUGGGAUCAGAAUGACUUUCGUGGCUGCUCUGCCCGUCUCCCUAGCCUCCUAGGAACUAAGUCGAGUUACUUUUAAGUGGAGAGAGUUGUCAAAGAGAAGUUUCAUGUUAGUCCCUCGGCUUUGUGUUAUUGGUGAGUGUGGUUCCUUCAUUUUAAGUGUCAUCCCUAGUACGGAAACAAAAAAAGGUCACCUUAAUCCUCAUGGGCAAGGGGCACUACCUUUGAAAGAUAACAAUGGUCCCCUUCAUGUAGUUCCACUAAGAGUGAGGACAACCUUACUAGAAGUUGAGUAUCUACAACUGAAAUCUGAGUGUCACAUCAGGAUGGUUUCUGAGCAUUUGAAGCACUGCAUUGGAAAUUUACUUUGGAAGGGAAUCAAGAGGGAUGCAGGCCUGUGAUUCAUCACCACCAAGUUCAACAAUUGUCCUCUAGAGGCCCAGGCACACCCAGAACCAGUUGAUCAGAAUCUCUAGGGGUGAGAUGGCAGCAUAGCACAUUUUUUUUUUUCUUAUGAUGCCCCUAGUUGAUUCCAAUGAGCAGCCAAGUGUAGAAACACAACCUUAAAGAAGGAAGGCCAGAUGAGUUUUUAUGGUCCCAAGCCUUCCUUCCGCAUUCAACCAAGUCCUAUCAACUGAGGGAAAUGCCCAUCCAGGUUCACCUACAGAAGAAGGGAGACACUGUUCUAUUUUCUCAGCUUCAAAAAGGCCCUCUUUUGCUGCCGCUCUGGUAGCUUGAAGUAGCAGCCUCCCUCAUUUGCAAAUUGCAAAGCAAUUUUGAACCAAAAGAGCAAAGCUGGAGGCAUUAUAAGCCCUGAUGCUAAGACACACCAUAGAGCCAGAGUAGUAAAAACAGCAUGGUAUUGGCAUAAAGACACGUAGACCAAUGGAACAGAAUAGAGAAUCCAGUAAUAAGCCCACUGUCUACAGUCAACUGAUUCCCACUAAAAGGGCCAAAAACGUGCCUUAAAACAAUGACAGCCUCUUCACCAAAUGAUGCUGGGGAAACUGAAGUAAGAAGGUUUUGUCUGGCAUGCAAACAGAUCUUGUGGAGAAGGACUUUAUGGAGCUUGGUGCCUGCUGUGGUUUGGAGCUGGAGUAUUUUUUAAAAGCCCAUGUGCUAAAGACUUGGUCCCCAGCCUGGGCUGUCUGGGAGGUACUGGGCCAUUUAAGAAAUGGGGCCUAGAGGGAGGUUUUUUGGUCUCUGGGCUGGGGGUAGGCUUGAAGGGAAUUAUGGGACCCUGUUCACAUCCUCAUUUUCACUUCCCAGCCAUGAGUCAACUGUCUUUGCUCUGCCUCACACUCUCACUGUGAUAUGCCAACAUUGGCCCAAAGCAGUGGGGCCAAUUGAUCAGGGACUAGAACUUCUAAACUAUGAGCCAAAAUAAAUCUUGCCCCUUUACAAUUUGAUUUUCUCAGGCAUUUGUUUCAACAAUGGAAAACUGACUAGCACAGUGAUGCUUGCAAGUUCAAGGAAAAGUCAGCAGGGUUCAUUCAUAUGGACCCCAGCUGGGACUGGCCCCUUUGAUUUUACCCUGUAGCCAUUAAAUAAUACAAGAAAACACAAAACAACUUCAAAGAUUUUCCUGUAGCUUUCAAAGAGAGAUGAAUGAAGAGGUUAUGGUCCUUACUCAAGACUUAUUUACAUCACAUAAAUAGAAUGAAAGAUAAAAAUCAGACAAUCAUUUCAAUAGAUGCAAAAAAGCAUUUGAAAAAAAUCCAACAUGGCUUCAUGAUAAAAGCCCAGAAUAAAUUAGGUAUAGAAGGAUCACAUCUGAACAUAAUAAAGGCUAUAUAUGACAGACCCACAGCCAACCUCACGGUGAAGGGGGAAAAGCUGAAAGCAUUUCUUCCAAGACUGGGAGCAAGACAAGCGUAUCUAUUCUUACCACUCUUAUCCAAUAGAGUACUAGAAAUUUUAGCCAGAGUAAUUAGGCAAGAGAAAGAAAUAAAAGGCACACACAUAGGAACAGAGGAAGUAAAAUUAUCCCUGUUUGCAGAUGAUAUGAAUUUAUACAUAGAAAAGUCUAAAGACUUCACCAAAAGACUUCUAAAUAUUGAUAAAUGAAUUCAAUAAAGUAACAGGAUACAGUAUCGACACACAAAAACCGGUAGCUUUUCUACAUGCCAAUAAUGACUUUGCUGAGAAAGAAAGCAAUUCCUUUUGGAAUAGCCAUUUACACUUAAAAAAAAAAAGUAGGAAUGAUCCUACGGAUAUAAGAGAUCUCCAACAUGAAAAUUACAAAACACUGAAGAAAGAAAUGCAAGGAGACACUGAAAGGUGGAAAGACCUCCAAUGUUCAUAGAACAUUGUUUUGAUGUUGUUAAAAUGUCCAUUCUACUCAAAGUGAUCUAGAGAGUCAACCAAUCCCCAUCAAGACACCAAUGACCUCCUUCACAGGAAAAAAAAAUCCCAAAAUUUGUAUGGAAGUGCUAAAAAUCUCACAUAGGCAAAGCAAUUUUGAACAAAAAGAGAAAAGACGGAGGUAUCAUAAUAUCUGAUGCUAAGACACACCAUAGAGCCAGAGUAGUAAAAACAGCAUGGUAUUGGCAUAAAGACACGUAGACCAAUGGAACAGAAUAGAGAAUCCAGAAGUAAGCCCACUGACUACAGUCAACUGAUUCCCACUAAAAGGGCCAAAAACAUGCCUUAAAGAAAUGACAGCCUUUUCACCAAAUGAUGCUGGAGAAAUUGGAUAUCCACAUGCAGAAGAUCCAAACUUGACCCCCAUCUCACCCUAUAAAACAACAAUCAACUCAAAAUAGAUCAAAGACCUUAAUGUAAGACCUGAAACUACUAGACGAAAACAUAGUGGGGAACACUUUUAAGAUACUGGUAGAAGCAAGCAUUUUCUGGUUAGGUCCCAAAAGCACAAGAAAAAACAGCAUGAAUUGAGAAUGGCAGUAAACACUUGCCAGCUACUCAUCAGCAGUGGAUUAAUAGCCAGAAAGAUUCAAAACACAUAACAACAAAAAAUGAUUCAAAACGGGCAAAUAAACUGAAUAAACACUUCUCAAAAGAAAUACAACUGGCCAAUAAAUAUAUGGAAAAAAAUUUCAAAAUCAUCAGCCAUCAGGGAAAUCAAAAUCAAAAUCAUGAGGUUCCACCUCACACCAAUUGGAAUGCCUUUUGCAAAAAAAUAUAUAAAAAAUUCUGGAGAGGAUGUGGAGAAAGAAGAGCCCAUGUACACUCCUGGUGGGAAUAUAAAGUAGCACAGUACGGAGGAUUUUCAAAAACCUUAAAAAGAAUGACCAUAUGAUCCAACUAUCCCAUUCCUGGGUAUAUAUAUCCAAAAGAAACGAAAUCAGCCUACAAAAGAGAUACCCGAUGCCCAUGUUUACUGUAGCACCAUUCACAAUAGCUAGGAUAUGGAAUCAAUGCCCAUCAACAAGUGAAUGAAUAUGGUAAUAAUGGAGUGUUACCCAGCCACAAAGAAUAAAACUCCGCCAUUUGCAGCAAAAUGAAUGGACAUUUUGUUAAGUGAAACAAGGUAGACACCAACACAGGUAUAUCAGGUUCUCUUGCAUAUUUGUGGAAACUAAAAUAGAAAAGGAUCUAAAAGUAGAAGGGGGACUGGCAGAUCAGUGUGGAAGAAGGGUGGACCCCAUGGAUGCUAGUAUGGAAAUAUCACAGUGAAUCCCAUGAAUUUGUACAAUAUACCUUAAUAAUUAAAUAAAAAAAGAAAUAGAUAUAGUGGCAGAUUAAUAAAAAAAAAGAAAAUAAAUAGCCAGAAGUUCCUUCAUCAGACAUUGUAUUUUUUUCUUCUAAUUCAAAGAUGUUACCUAUUAUUCUGCCAGCAUAUUGCUGGCGAUGGCAGACCGGGAAGGAGGGCAGUUAAUCUGCACUAUGUCCAUUCAGAACUUGGAAAUAAUGGAAAAUUCUCAAGCAUGUUUGUUCACAGAGAUCAAACCUCCCGCGUUCACAGUGAAAGGCCCACAUGUUCUGGCCCGCCUGCUCACCUGGCCACAUGCGCUAUGUGUGAUAUGGAUUGGAAGCACCCUGAGGACAGAACCAUUCUCAUUCACCUACUCAUACUUUCCUGGAAACCUUAUUUGCAUCUCAGUAAAUCCUUUCAUUGAUGAUGCCCAGAUGUCCUUCAAUUUAGCACCCCUUCAAUUUUAACUCUGAUAUUAAAGGAAACUACAGAUAUUUAUAAGGGCACCUUGUGUAAAAAAUCAAACUAGUAGGUGAGCACAUGGCCCUGCUGCAGAAUAAUUCACUGUGUAACCAAGUCCUAAGUCUUCUCUUGCUAUGACACUGGAAGAAAUAAUGAUAAUGACAACCAGAGACACCAACACACAGUGACAUUAUCAUGCCCCAGGCAUGGCUGUGAGCACUUGUGUCGCUGAACUCUCUAAAGCACCUGCGAGAUGCAUUCACCCUGCCUAGGGAUGACCAGCUAGGAAGUGAGGUGCCUGGACUUCACACUCUCACCUUUUCACCCAAAGCACAACACGUUCUUCCAGUGUGUUCUGGCAUGAAAGGAAGACUGUUUCUCAUGAGCCUCCAGGCCAGAUGGACAAACAAAACUGCACAGACAGAGCUCUAAGGAGCUAGGCAGACAUUUGGAUGUGAAAGCUGUGUUGAGGGAUGGGUCACAGAAGCAUCGUGAGUAGACUGACAGAGAGCUUCCUCAGGUAUGGAUAGAGGCAUUCACCUGGAUUCAGAAAUUACAGGGAACUAGUGCAGGGUCAUAGCCUUCAGGAGACCAAAAAUAAAACCAGGGGAAACUUCUCCUAAGACAUAAAUCUGCUGUAGACAGGCAAGGCAGAUAGAAAGGAUAGAAAGGGCACAUCCAUUUUCAGUCCUGUUCAGGCGCCUCUGACUCAAAGUCAAUAUUGUUCAAGGACAAGGGCAAUGAUGAAUGAUCGGAAGAUGACCUGUAUCUCCAGGCAAGAUGGGUGGCACUGGGCACAAUAAGGGAUGAUCCUAUUGUCAAAUGGGAGUAAGACAGGUCCCUUUCUCCCAGAGGGGCCAACUGGCUGCUACAUACAGUCCACGGUCCACUUCUCACUACGGCUACCAGCGGGCCUCGAGGGAGGACAUCCUGAGCUCAGACAAGACCUUCCUAGUGUGAUUUAGAAGCAGACAUGACCCAGCCUCUAUGUUCUAGAUUCCCAAAUGGACUAGGUGCAAUUCAAAGAGAUGGCCUGCUCUUCACUGUUACUACAUUGUAGGAAAAGCCUAAUGCUGGGCUCCCUGGGAUCUUUCUCCAUGUACUAGAGGUGCAUGUCUACCCCAAGGUGGAUCUGAGUGGGCCCGGGUUGAGGAUGUCCAUGAGCUACACCCUUGAAGCAAGCAGGGUCUUCACACUACAGCUUCUCAGAUCCGUGGCUGUAGUGCCGCACGCCAGGCCACAAAUGGCAGACAAUAUGUGAAAAGCAAUUUAAAUAUUUUCUGAAAUCCCUUGAAAACUCUGAAGAGGAAAUCUACUUGUGCUUCUCAACAAUAUUUCUCAAAAAUCUCUUCAUUUGUCACAUGCAUAGUGGAUGCUCCAAAAUUCUCUUAGUGCCUUUUCUUUCAAUCUUCCCCCAAUUUUAUGAAAUAUAACCCAUAAUGUCUUCAUCUUUCUCCCCACUCCUACUUUAUUUUCUUUUUUGUAAUUACUCCACUGUGAGCUAGGAGGCUAGCAGGGGCAGGAACUUACGGUGCCUAAUUAAGUGAUCCCAGUAAUAGAGGCCUAGAAGUUAAGGCUGCAACAGAGAGGUGGGUUUGGAGCUUUGAAAUGGUGUGGGCCAGUACACCAUCAUACCACCAAGGAAUUGUCUGAUUUUCUUGCAAAAUGAAAGGACUUUACCCUCACUUUUUAACUUUGUGAGUAGAAAUUAUUGUAGGCCUGGCCUAUAUGCAUAAGAUACACUGCUUGGCCUUGAGGCAGAGCUGAUUCUGCUUGCAAUGUGGAGGUUCCAUAAUUCCCCAAGCCCCUGGGCUAAGCUUCUCAGACUCCCCUGCAGAGAUUGUUUAAAAACACAGAUUCCUGCUGGGUGCAGUGGUGCACACCUGUAAUCUCAGUGGCUUGGGAGGCUGAGGCAGGAGGAUAGCAAGUUCAAAGCCAGACUCAGCAAUUUAGUGAGGCUCUGUCUCUCAAUAAAAUAUGAAAAAUGGCUGGGGAUGUGUCUCAGUGGUUGAGAGCCCUUGGAUUCCAUCCCCAGUAUCAAAAAAGGGAAACAAAACAAAACAGAUUUCUGGGCUUCUCCCCAGAACUGCUAAGUCAGGAUGUGGGGCACAGAGUUCUGUUUUUAACAAGAUCAGCAAGUAAUUCUGACAAUGGCUGCUGGGGAACCCAUUCUUACCUAAUAACAAAUAUAGGUCUGGAUUGGUUUCAUUUGUAUAUAAGCUUUGUUAUCAACAACACAGAUUCUUCAAACACCAUGCCGCUGACCUUGACGGCAUAGACUGUGGGCAGAGGACACAGAAAACGUGGGGACCCAGCCAGUAUAGGCAUCAGUAGGCCUGGAAUCUAUCUAUUUCAUGGAAUGUGCCACAUAAAUAUGACCUCUCAUAAAAUGUUAACGGCAAUCCAACAGAUUAGCAGUAAACAAAUUUAUAUUUUGUUUAUUGCCAUGACUCAAAAAAAAAAUGCUACUGGUUCUAACUAAAUGUCUGUUUUUAUGUUCUGUCAUUUCCAGGCAUGAAAGUAACUCAAACAAAUCCCAAGGCAUAAGGAAAUGGGCCUCGUUCUCUAGGACUCUGCGGCAUUGGAAAUGAAGCUAAGCAGACUUUAUUACAUCCUACGAUUCUGCAACCUUUUGCGAAGCAUUUUAUUGCACUUGUGGAAGCCACUGGGGUUAUGUUUCAAUCAUGAUGACUGACAGGCUGGCUUCAAAACAAUGGCAUCCACAACCUUGCCACGCAUUUCUCUUCACGCUAUGUACUUAGAAUAGAACGUUUCUAAAUUGUCCCUUAGCCUGGAUGAAAAUAAAAUGGUCCUUAAAAUAUUUA
rnacentral:lncRNA from 1 species